rnacentral:lncRNA from 1 species
GAGACAUAGAAUAGGACACAUAUCCAGAAGUGUGGACCUUCCUGUACAUAGUCUGUCUCUUGCUUACAAUCACAUCACAUUUACAAGCAUGUUCUCUUUUCUUGUUAACGAUCCCCACAACAAACAAACCUGCUUUCUUUGCCUUCAUAGUUUUUACCACCUGCCACUACCCCUGAGGAUUAUGUCAUCACUCUUUCCAGCCAUCCAUGGUUGCUACAUCUGACCUCAGAACAGAACAAGCUCUCCUUAGCACUCUUCCUUAAUGGCACUUUGAAGUAUUUUACUGCCAGUUUCUAUCAGGAAAUGGGCAUAAUCCUGGAAGUGAUAACUGAGCAGAGUCUUCGUGAAACUAGUAAACAUUGUCAAAGGUGUGGAAAUAAAGGAGUUCUGGGAAGGUCGGAUGUCCUAGAUGGAGGGAAGAGAGAAGGGACAUAGUUUCUGAUAUAUUAUCUCCUAUAUAAUCCCCUCCCCACACGUUUCUCUCAAUCUCAAUCUUAAACUCUCAAUAAGUAGGGGAAGAUAGUUGGAAACAGAAGCCACUAGCAUUUUUCACUAAUGUGAGUUGAAGAUAAAUUUGACCUACAUUUUAAUGAAAGGCCUAAGCUGCAGAAUCUCUGGGUGCCUUGUUGAGGAAAUUGGGAUAAGGGGCAGGAAUUGAGCGGAGAAAAAGGAUAUGGCAUGAGAACAAAAAUAUGACCUAGAGCCUGGAGGCACUUUGUCUACCAAGUUUUGUAGUACAAUUUUCCUUGUAAUUUUCUCAUCUUUUUUGCCAGAUUGUUUACCCACAAAUCAUUGGUCUUGAAAUGAAGCUCAAAGUAGGAACAAUAUGAUAGUGAUGGGGCAGGUGCCUUAUUUAAUCAUUCAACAAACGUUUGUUUAGCAUCUACUCUGGGGAAGUCAUGGUGAAAAAAUAUAUACCCAUCUGUCUAAAUGACUCUAUGAUAUUUUUAUCUUUAAAAGAAAAGCAUUGCAAACUAAGCUUCCAAGGCAAAUAUUGGAAAAAUAGAGGCUUUGGAGCAGAUCCAAUCCAUAUUUAAAACCCACCUAUAUCCUUGGCCAAUUAUUUCACGUCUCUGAGACUUAGGCCUUGCCAAUUAAACUAUGAUGGUAAUACUUGCUUCUUAAGGUCAUUUUAAUGAUUAGCUACUGCCUAAUAAAAAUAUAUAUUCCAAAAUGAUACAGAUUAUAUUUUGUGACAUAAUAGUGUAACAUAGACACUGAGACUUAAUAGGACAAAGUUUCUUGAGGUAUCGUGUCGUGACAUGUGUACAUUCAUAGAUAGCUUCUGUCCUUAUUGGCAGAAUCUCCAUCUGUAUCUCUAAUUUCCACCUCCUAAGUAUACUGUUUUUGCAAUCCAUAUACCAUAUUCAGUCUUACAUAACAGACCUAAGACCAUUUGGGUCUAGUGGUGGGUUGAGUAACUAUGAAUUCACUGUGUGUGUGUGUGUGUGUGUGUGUGUGUCACCAUCUCAUACUCAAGAGGCUUUGUCCAAGAGGCAGAUAGAAAAUGCCGUGGUGCUCUGUUGUACCAAAAGAAUACAAGGUCUUAGAACUGUUUCACUGAAAUCUUCCUCUUCAAUAGGGCUUGUCAUGAAAAACUGGAUACUGUAGUUUUAUCAGAUUCGAGUACAUUUUAUUAUUUCCUUCUGAUGACCACCCUGCAAAUGGAAUAUAAAAACCAAACAAACAUAUAAAAUAGCACCUUGUGGAAAUCAUAAGAAAAGAGACUGAGGCGGAGGAAAGAAACAUAAAAUUAGAGCUCUGAAUUGGAAGGGAGAAUAUGACAGUGAAAACCAGAGCUGCAAUUUUAUUGUUUUUUUUUCCCUUUUCCUUGACCCCUAGAGAAUACACAAAUAAAAUCAAUUAAUGGGCCUUGAAGAAGAAUCACUUUAAACUGUUCAAUUAAACCCCGCAAUGCAGAGAACAGAAGGGAGAAAAAAAAAACAAUAAAUACGUCUUAAAAAAUGGACUUGUCAGAGGCGCCAGGGUCCCGACAUGCACCAUUACUGACGGAUCGAAUCGCACUUCCAUUAACACCAUAAUCUUAUAGACUCCACAGGCUGUAAAAAAGGGAUUGACUUUAAUCAGGUUUGGUUAGGACUGAAUUUGAAAAGCGCUACAAGUGAAAUAAAACAUGACCUCCACCUCUUUGAUUUUUUUCCCCGGCACUGGUUCCCCAGUAUGUAAUUUGCUGUCCACCGAUGGGUCAUUUUUAAUGACUGUGAUGUGCUGAUACAUAUCUCUUUCUUUUAGUGGUGGAAAUCAUUAAUACAAACCUGCAGUAUUCCUUCUUAACUAUUUUUCUUCAUCUAAUCAUUUGGCUUAAAAGUCACCACCCAGUCCAAAAUUCCGAAAUAGUUCUCCCAGAUGGGAUCUUCUUUUAGGUAAGUGCAAAAUUUUCAAAGAAUUAUCAUCAGUUUUCCUUAAAAUAAGAAUGCCAUGGGCUUUGGGGAAAUGUUGAAUGAAAUAAAGUGCACAGCUUUCUUUCUGGUCACACUGCUGAGUUCCUACUCUGUUAAUGGGUGCUGCAGCAGGGUUAGGGCAUGCAGUGUUGACCACAUUUGGGGUCACUGGGACAUUUUGAGAGCUUCUCCUGACAGUUAUGUUCCAGAGAAAGCACUCUGAGAAACACUGACUUAGACAGCUUUUAUUUAUCUUACUCACUAAAUUCCAUGCAAUAAUUUGAUUGCUGCCUUGUUGGUAAUAAGCCCUCCUCCAGAGGGUGGCAGGGGUGACUCUGGCAGGUCAGAGGAGAUGAAUGGCCAUUAAGGAGCCUGGGAAAAUCUAUAAAUCCAGGAGGUGUCAGAUGAACCUUUCCUCAGUACAUUUUGCUUCAUACUUCUGCUUCCCAAAUUUACCAAAAGAUACCAGCUCAAUUUUGAGUUGUAUUUCCUCUUCCUUUCUCUUCAGAGAAGGGAUCUAAGAAAAUAUGUCACCAUAGUAUCAAGCAGUUGUUGUAGUCUCUUGAAUGUGUAUGUUUCUCAAUAUUAAGAUGAACUGUGUUUUGUUCAAUAUAGAUUUCUCUUUUAAUAUGUAAGAAUAGUAAAGGCAUUGAGCCGUACUGUUUUAUUGAGUCAAGCAAUGCUAAUUGACUUGGUUUGUUGUAAUGAGUACUGCUUAUACCAGGGCAGGGCUGUGAUUUUGUACCCCCUAUUCUUUUUGUUUGUUUGGUUUUGUUUGUUAAAUUAUUAUUAAAAUACAGUUGAUUUACAAUGUUUCAUCAAGUUCUGUUGUACAACAAAGUGACCCACUCACACGAAUUUCCCUGUGCUGUACAGUAGGGUCCCAUUGUCCAUUCAUUCCAAAUAUAACAAUUUGUAUCCAAAUAAUCCCCAAUAUGCCUAUCCAUCCCACUCCUUCCUCUUUCCCCCUUGGGAACCCCAAGUCUGCUCUUCUUGGCCAUGAUCUGUUUCUGUUUUUCAUUUAUUUGUUAUUUUUAAUAGCAUCAUCUGUUCCAUAUUUUAGAUUCCACAAAUAAGUGAUAUCAUAUGGUAUUUGUCUUUCUCUUUCUGGCUUACUUCACUUAGUAUGAGAGUCUCUAGAUCCAUCCAUGUUGCCGCAAAUGGCAUUAGUUUGUCUUUUUUAUAGCUGAGUGAUAUUCCAUUAUAUAUAUGGAAACAGCCUAAAUGUCCAUUGGCAGUGAAUGAAUUAAGAGAUGAGGUGCAUAUAUACAAUGAAAUAUUACUCAUCCAUAAAAAGGACAAACAAACUUGUACCACCUAUUCUUUAAUGUAAACCUUGACCCUUCAUAUAACACUAUGCUUUGUAUAUUUAUAUCUACUUAUUCCUUUAAGGACUUGCUUAAGGCUCCUUUCCAGACUGAAAUACAUCACAUUUCUUUGUUACCCUGGUGUUCUCCUCUUAUCAAUUAGAAAGGGCCAGAAAUAUAAGAAAAGGGAGGCUAAUUAGAAAGGGAUGGAUGUGAUAGCUCAAUAGUAACAACUCUGACUAGUAUCCAUGAGGAUAUGCUCUCACUCAGUAAGUUAAGGAUCUGGCAUUGCCAUGAGCUGUGGUGUAAGUUGCAGACAUGGCUUGGAUCCUGAGAUGCUGUGGCUGUGGUGUAGGCUCUGAUUCAACCCCUAGCCUGGGAACUUUCAUAUGCCACCGGUGCAGCCCUAAGGAGAAAGAAAAGAAAAGAAAAGAAAAGAAAGAAAUCCUGCUGUAUAGCGCUGGGAACUAUAUCUAGUCAUUUAUGUUGGAGCAUGAUAAUGUGAGGAAAAAGAAUGUAUAUAUGUAUGUGUGACCGAGUCACCCUGCUGUGCAGUAGAAAAUUGACAGAACACUAUAAACCAGCUAUAAAGGGAAAAAAAUCAUUAAAUAAAAUUUAAAAAAAGAAAGAAAGAUAUAUAUGGGGUCCAGCUGUACCUUGGGAAAUUCUGCUAUAGGAGGAGGAAAGUGGCUUCGUCUCACCAACUGGAUUCUGGAUCAUCUGCAUGGUUGCUUAAUUGGUUAUAAAAGACCAAAGGGUAGCUCAGAGGAGAGUAAUUAGAAAUAGAUUUGAUG